ACUUAAAUUGUGGAGAAACAGGAAAACUGGAUUUCAGAUCUUUAUCAGUUUAUUGCUUUGGGAAUAGAGAAGGCUACUUGUGAAAAGCCUGACUACUAGAU